ensembl:lncRNA
CCACAGACUCCCUGCUGCAUCUCCUGCCAGCUGGAGGGACUGGAGGGGGCCCACUGGCCCCUUCUUUUCUCCCUCCCUGAUCAGGAGAAAGGAGGUAUGACUGUUCUCAUGGGGGCAUGGGACAGAUGACAAGCGGAAAGCUAUAGACCUUGAGCCACUAUCGCUUUUUGCUUUCUGGCCUUCUGUUUUUCUAUCUGUAAAAUGGGCAUGAUCACACCUGCCUGGCCUUCUUCAUGGAGUUGGUAGAGGAAAGAAGGAGAGAACAGGCCCAGAAACAUGAGCUGGGAGACAGCCCCAUAGGCACGGCAGAUAUGCCCUCUUCUCCCAUUUCCCUUUGCCACCAGGGAGUGGUGGGGGCCUGAGGAGUGGAGUCCCUGCCCCUGGGUGGAUCCUUCACCCUGCAGGGCACCCCAGCUGCCGUGCUGUCUGGCCCACAGCUUAACUGGCCCCUGCACGCCCCUCUCUGCCUAGCCUUGUAAAUUGCCUGCGCUGAAUUCUGCACACACCUCAGUGGAAGGGGAAUUAUUUGCCAGAUAUACGGUGUCUGUGAGAAGGGCCUCUUAUGAGUCAGUGUUCAAAUAUGUUACCAGCUCAAUAAACAGAGGUUUGUUGUAAAUUAAGAAAAGGAAGCGAGGUGCCUGCAACAGCCCUUGUUCAUCUACUGUUUUCUAUUAGCGACGCUUUCCCCUUAAGUAGCACAUAAUUCCCGGUAGCUGCUGGGCUGGCAGCUUGGAAGGGGGGAUGUAAUUACACUGCAGUUGUUAGGUAGUUAGAGCUACACAAUAAGGUCCAUAGAGAGAGGCAGGGACAGCCCUGGGGCGGGGGGAAGGGGUUGGCUGGGCUCCCCAACAGGAUCAGAUAAGAUCACAGUUGCCUGAUAAUCUCAGGGUGACGGGAGGAGCAGCCUGGGCACGGCAGAGGGCAGAUCUAGAAAACAAGGCUCUGACCCUCAUCACAGGAAGAGGUGGAUGCCCUGAGGACAUUGUAUUCAUAGCCUUCUUCUGUCUCCUCUACUUGACAGUGGGCAGAGACUGUCUUCAUCAUUUCACAGGUAAGUCCUGAUUCUAGUAGCUUGUGGAACAACUGAGUAAAUGGAAGAGCAGGUGUGUGUGC